rnacentral:other from 1 species
CCCCUGCAAUGUUGGUGAAGAUGCGAUAUUCUUUGAGCCAACAGAAAAAAAAGGGGAGCUGUCUCUUAUUGUGGCUGGCCUGUCCUAAUUCCGCAGGAGUAUAGGAACGCCAAAAGCAAUAAUAUGGCACCCACCUAGAAAACCUAGGUUCAAAAGGAAAGCAUCCCACGGCAUUUGCGGGGG